rnacentral:tRNA from 1 species
GCUGAUGUGGCUUAGUGGUAAAGCACCGCCUUGGUAAGGCGGAGAGCGUGGGUUCGAGCCCCACCAUCAGCUCCA